GUCCCCGUAGUUUAAUGGAUAGAACGAGAGACUUCUAAUCUCUUGAUCCAGGUUCGAUUCCUGGCGGGGGCA
rnacentral:tRNA from 1 species